rnacentral:rRNA from 1 species
UCGGGAAUAUUGCGCAAUGGAGGAAACUCUGACGCAGUGACGCCGCGUGCAGGAAGAAGGUUUUCGGAUUGUAAACUGCUUUAGACAGGGAAGAAACAAGACAGUACCUGUAGAAUAAGCUCCGGCUAACUACGUGCCAGCAGCCGCGGUAAUACGUAGGGAGCAAGCGUUAUCCGGAUUUAUUGGGUGUAAAGGGUGCGUAGACGGGAAUGCAAGUUGGUUGUGAAAUCCCUCGGCUCAACCGAGGAAUUGCAACCAAAACUAUAUUUCUUGAGUGCUGGAGAGGAAAGUGGAAUUCCUAGUGUAGCGGUGAAAUGCGUAGAUAUUAGGAGGAACACCAGUGGCGAAGGCGACUUUCUGGACAGUAACUGACGUUGAGGCACGAAAAGUGUGGGGAGCAAAACAGGAUUAGAUACCC